rnacentral:lncRNA from 1 species
GGGAAUUCUAGGGCCCCACUCACUGCCGGUUCCUCUCCAGACUACCAUAGCUGAUGCUCUCUGGAAAGCGCCACCUCCAGAAAGUGGGCAGAUUGACAUUUCUGGCAGAACCCUAGGAGCAGAAAAAAAAUCUGAAAAACAAAUAAGCACCUGUGAUGCCCUGUGACUACAGAGUUCCAGUAGAACUAUAAUCUGUGGAAGUUCAAGAAGACUUAAAGCAGAGCAGCCAGAGUCACUCCUAUCUCCAUUGCUUACAUGAGUGAGAGAUGUGAGUAUUGCCCAGUGGAACAGAUGAGAAGUAAUCACAGAUAUUAUUGCAAAAAUCAGAAAGUCAAAGAACAACAGAACUCAUUUGACUGUAUGGGGCCUAAGAACUUACCAGUGAGAGAGAAAUGCACAGCACAGUAUCAUAUUUAAAUACAAUG